GAAGCAGGGAGAAGGAGCAGCAGCAGGGAAACACCAACGGAAGAACAAUUGACCAGUCGUGGGGAGAGGUAAGGAGAAGCAGCUACAUCGGCCAUCAUUGCAGCAACCUAAUCCGUCAGCAGCCACAGGGAGACAGCAGAAGGAGAAGGCGUGUAAGGGGGCAAAGCGGAACAGUAAAGGCUGGGGGGACGCAGCCGGACAGAGCGAUGGAGCGGGGAAAAAAUAAAAAAGAGGAGAAGCCAAGGCGGGGGGAAAAGGGGGAUUUUUUAACAUAUGGGGCAGGGAAGAUAAAUUUUGGACCUUUACGGGGGGCAAAAUUUUGCAGCUGAACGAAACAAAACAGAAUCUGUGGUCGAGGAAGAAAGAAAAAGAAGGACAGAAGGAAGAUGGAGCCGCCAGAGACGAGCUGGCUCAGCCAGCAGAGAGGCACCUGACGGAGCCAACCUAACGGAUGCAGGCAAAUAGGGCCAACGAAAGACGGGUCGUACAAGGUGAAACUUGAGUUGAGGGUAAAAGUUGAGGGUAAAACUUGAGCUGCAAAGAAGACCGCACAAGGAGGAAAAGCUUCAGCUUGGUGGAGUUGGUACACAGGAGACUGAGCAAGUGGCAGAGAAGUGACCCACG
rnacentral:lncRNA from 1 species